GACGAACGCUGGCGGCGUGCCUAAUACAUGCAAGUUGAGCGCUGAAGGUUGGUACUUGUACCAACUGGAUGAGCAGCGAACGGGUGAGUAACGCGUGGGGAAUCUGCCUUUGAGCGGGGGACAACAUUUGGAAACGAAUGCUAAUACCGCAUAAAAACUUUAAACACAAGUUUUAAGUUUGAAAGAUGCAAUUGCAUCACUCAAAGAUGAUCCCGCGUUGUAUUAGCUAGUUGGGGAGGUAAAGGCUCACCAAGGCGAUGAUACAUAGCCGACCUGAGAGGGUGAUCGGCCACAUUGGGACUGGGACACGGCCCAAACUCCUACGGGAGGCAGCAGUAGGGAAUCUUCGGCAAUGGACGAAAGUCUGACCGAGCAACGCCGCGUGAGUGAAGAAGGUUUUCGGAUCGUAAAACUCUGUUGGUAGAGAAGAACGCUGGUGAGAGUGGAAAGCUCAUCAAGUGACGGUAACUACCCAGAAAGGGACGGCUAACUACGUG
rnacentral:rRNA from 1 species